rnacentral:lncRNA from 1 species
CUGCAUUCUUCAGUCACAUUUCCACUUAUUCAAGCUUUGACAUCUCUCCUAUUUAGAGUGGGGCAUACCAGGUACUUUAAAAGUGGGAUUUCGGUUUCCACAUCACUCAGGUGCUUCUGACUACCUCAGAUAAAUGCGACUAGUGACCAUAAUUAAUUUCAGUGAAGUUACAGGCUAAAGCUUAAGAACAUGUCUAACAAGGAUCAAAAGUGAGAGACAGGAAACAUUUCCUACAAAACAGAAAUGUCUUUUAUUUAACCUUGUCCUCUUAUCCUUCAUUAAGAGCAGCUAUUUCCAUUUCAGUCCCGGGUUGUGAGAGGACUGUAGCAGGACUUCAACUGUCCUUUCCUGACCCUGUUUCACAGCAUCUGUGUUUUGCAUGGGGCUGUUGGGACAUAGACUAACCUGGUAAGAAUUUGGCUGGGAGCACUACAUGCACUGCAGGCUUUCCAGUGGAUGAUUGGAUGAUUGUUUCCUUCCUUCCUUCCUUCCUUCCUUCCUUCCUUCCUUCCUUCCUUCCUUCCUUCCUUCCUUCCCCCCUUCCUCCUUCCCUCCCUUCCUCCCUUCUUUGCUUCCUUCCUCCCUUCUUUCCUCCCUUCCUCUCUUCUUCUCUUCUUCUCUUCCUCUCUUCCUUUCAAAUAAGUAAUAUGGAAACCAGAUAUCUACAUGCCUUUAUAAGACAAAAAUUGGAGAGAGUUAAAGAAAUUAUUUCCACUGUUAAUUUUGCAGGACCACAGUUUCACCCUGGGAGUGUACACAUCUGUGAGAUGCACGCAAGAAGUCAUGUUUCUGUUAACAGUCUGAGCAAAGCUGAGCUGCCCCACGGUGAAUCUGCAUCCUGAAGAGAUCAUCAGGACAUGACCAGUAGGUUUGGGAUGGUGCUGGGCUCCGCUUUCAGGGAACCAGCUUCUUCCUACUGUGAGGAUGCCUUAUCUGAACCUGCAGAGUUCAGAAAGUCAGUGUGUCUACAAAUGCAUCUACUGAGUAUGGUUAAAUCAAGGCCUAACCACAGCCCGCUGAUGAAUUUUUAUCAGUAUUUUCUCAGGAUGCUGAAGGGAUGUGCAGCAGUGUCUGCCAUAGUGAAGAUCCAACAAGGCUUAGCCUGGGCUGUCCCUUUCAUACAGGAGGCAAACCACCCAGAACAGCUGACUUUUUGGGACAUGGGAUUCCUGUCCCUGAGAUGGUUGGCAGCAACUAACAACUUGGAGCAACU